rnacentral:lncRNA from 1 species
AAAAGUGGGGCACCAGUGGCGGUUUUAACAGCAUCACCUGUUACUAAUGUGUGCUCGCUGGAAACUGAAAGAAAAAACGAUUGAUCCGAGGGCUCGCACGUUAUUGAUGGAAAGGCAACAGUCACGGAUCGAUGACAUGUACAGCACCAUCCCCUCUCUCUCUCUCUCCUUAUCUCCUUCCUUCCAUCCCAAUCCUGCCUGUGGCUUCUUUCUCUCCUCCUCCUUUCCUCUCUCUCACCCCCCUAUACAGCACAGCACCAUCUCCACCUGAUCUCCUCUGGCCCGAUGUCCAUGCCACCAAGGAGCCGCCGCCAAGGAUCUGCAGCCCGCCUCUGCACCGGCCUCCUCCAAUGUCGGACCCCGCCAUGCCGCCAAGGAGCAGCCGCUGCACCGCCCUCCUCCAACUCCAUCCAGCUGGAUCCAUCCCCGCUAGCAACUGCCCCGCUGCCGCGGAUCAGGCCGCCCCUAGCCCCUAGCCUGCUGCAACCUCUCCAUCCAGCCGACCACGAGUCCUCCGUCCCUCCCCGGCUUCCUCCCUGAACCGAAGGUGGCAGAUCCAGUCUCCCAUGACCGCGCCCCGUCGGGCCGCCGCCGCCGGAUCCAUCUCUGCCUCUCCUUCUCCCUCCUCCCUCUCUUCUCUCUUUUGUGCGUGCCUCCAUCCCGAGGGAUAGGGCGCCACCUCGGGUCCCGGCCGACGCCGCCGGGCAGGAGGGCGUCGGUGCAGCCCCCGGUUCUUGCCGCAGCCGCCGCGGAGGAGGGCGCGGGUGCAGCCUCCCGUCAGCUCGUCGCCGGAUCCGGCGACCAAAUCGCCGCUGCACACCGCAGGUACGUUCUCCCUGCUCUCUGCUCUCCCUUUCCCCUCUGUUCUCUCCCUCCCUCACUCUCUCUCUCUCACACACAUAUGGUGGCCACCAACCGCCGGUGGAGAGGAGGAGCUUGUCGUCGGUGAACUCGCGGGUGGAGAGGAGGAGCUCGUCGUCGGUAAACUCACGGGUUAAGGUAUGUCUCUCUCCCUCGCUCCCUUCUCUCGAUCUCUCCCUCUCACUCUCUCCCCUCCUACUGCAGUC